rnacentral:lncRNA from 1 species
AUUUGCAAGUCACUGCGCGGCGCAUGCAGAAGCAGCCGCGGGCCGGCGGGGCGCGCAGAUAAGGUCUGGGGGCGUGGGUUUCGGGCUGUACCUGCAUUAUCGCGGCUUCCUUAAGCUCGGAUGAAUAUGUAAAUCUCUCGCUGCAGCCUUCCGGUGCCGCAGUCGCAGCCGUGGGGGCCGCCUCCGCUGUAGCAAUUCCGAGGUUUUGCCGUUUCCAGUAUGUCGUAGAGUUGAAAUCAUACCAUAUGGAGCCUGUUCAGAUGGGCUUCUUUCAGUUAGUCACAUGCGUUUAAAGUUUCUCCAUGUUGUUUUAUGGCUUGUGCCCACUUUGUUCAUCUCUGCUCACUGGGGGAGCCAGGACACGGAUCCAGGUUUUCUGACUCCAGGUCUCAGGCUUGCUCCAUAGCGCCACCUGCUGGUGACGGCAAUCGGUAGGCACCCAAAUCAAGACUCAGAUUUCCUCAUCUCAGAAGUUGUCCACUUCUUCUCCGACCUCCACGGUAACUCGGAACCACACCGUGGAGUUAUCCCUGUGUCCUCUUUCUCGGAAGUUCCACAUCCAACCCCUCAGCAGGUCUCAGCGGCACUCUCACCACCUCCUCUGCUCUGUUCCUGUUUCUCUUGGAUGGUCGAAUGUUUCCUAAGGAGUGUCUGCUGCUUCACGCUUGCCCCCUGGAGUGGCAUCUAAAAGGAUACCCUACAACUAACAGGCAUGAUGCCAUCAAGACAUCUUGAGCCUGGCUACCUCCCGUGGCCUGUAUUUUGUCCACAGGAAACUCGCGCAGUCUCACUACAGCAAAUUGAGGUGGUAUGGGGUGCCUGCUGCUGCCUCUCUCUUCACCUUUCCACAGAGGGCUGCCCCAGCCUGACUCCCACUUCCAGAGUUUCUCCAGCCAGGAGAAUCCUGAAAUCUCUGUAAAUAAGCAAUCCAGGAGCCAGAGAAUCAUGGGAUCUCAUAUAAACAAAUCAUCAAGGAAAAACACAGCCAGAGUCUCCAUUUGGUAAACCUCCGUGACUGGGGAUCCCCGGCCACCCAGAAAGCAGUAUUGCCUGCCAUGCAUGUCAUCACUGAUUUUUACUGCUGCAGCAGACUCCGUCAGACCUGCCUGCUGCUUCAGCGAAUUGUUCAGUGCACACCACCAGCUACCUGCUGUAAGCAUUCACACUCCUCUACCUGCCUGGCAGCAUUUCUCAGCUGAACACAGGCCAGGCCAGAAGUGCCAGGGAUUUAAUGCCCUUAGAAGUAGCUCUCUACCAAUGACAAAUGGAGCUGGUGGAUACAUUCUCAGCUUCCUCCCCUCUCAGGUGGAACAGCCCUGAGAUGUGCUCUAUGCAAUCUCCCACAAGUCCCCAGCAGGCUCAAGCUCCCAUUGUCCAACCCUGGUAACCUGCUCAUUGACACCCCUGUCUUGCCUUCCCUUCCUGGCCUCACUUUCUCACUCUCUUACUGUUGCCUCCUGAGAUCGCAUCCAAAAUAAAUGACCUGCACCCA